AUGAGACUAUCGGGACCCUUGGCCGUUGGUCAUCUUGAGCCUACCACACCUACAUCCACAACAAUUUCAAGUUCUCGGUCAAGCCCAAGCUUACCUCAGCUCGUCUCAACUUGUGGGGCAUUUCGUCUGGCCAAAAUAUACAGUACAAACGAGUCUCUCUGGGCCACCAAUUCCAGAUGCCCAGAGCAACCUGACCAUCAUAUCCCGUUUACCUUUUCAUCCUCUUCCAACUCAUCCGUAACAUUCUGAUCGUUGUUCUCCCCGGUGUGUUCCCGUACCUGUUCCCGUGUCUGUAGUUACCUACCGGAGUCUCCUGGUUGUCGUCGUUUGUUCCUGGAUCUUCACUCAGCACUGGAUUACCGAGCACCGUCACGAGGAUCAUUCACAUACCGGGAUUUGAGGGAUCCGAAGUCCCUGCGUCACCCUUCCACCCAGCCUUGUGUCCGCUCGCCUGUGUUCCUGUUAUACUCCAUUUAUCUGAUCCUUGUGCUAUUUGUCAAUAAAUACGCCUUGCAUUUACAUCCUGUUUCUGUCUUACGUAACAGUGUGUGGACACUAAUAUUGUUAUAGUUAUAAAUUAGUUAUUAUUCUUAUUCUGAAACUGGCUUUUAGGGCACAAUGUCCUUACCAAUAGAGAAAUAUUUUGACAACUGACGUGUGAAAACAUUUUAUGUCCUCAUUUUAAAAACAUUUUCUUGAAAUGUAUAUUUAAAGGAUUAGUUCACCCAAAAAUGAAAAUUCUUUCAUGAAUAAUUCAUCUUCAUGUUGUUCCAAACCCAUAAAACCUAGAAGUCAUCUUCAGAAACAAAAUUAAGAAGCUUGGUCUCAUGAAAAUGCAUAUAAAUAUUACACCAAAUAAAAAUUAAAUCUUGUGGUAUUGAUAAGCAAAAAUUGACUUUGGCCUAUAUUUGCUAUGCGCAUGUUUGGCGUGCAUUUAACACACAGUUUUCGCAUCCAUAAGAUAUGAAAUUUGUUGGCAUGCAUAUGAUACGCAGUUUUCGUGUACAAUUUGAUAAGCAUCUACCACACAACCCUAAUCCUACCCAUCACGUAGCAUAUACACGCCAAAGUCAAUUUUUGCAUAUCAAUAAUAAAAGUUUUCGUUUUUAUUUGCCGUACUUUGUGCACUUUCAUGAAAUCAAGUUGAACUAAGAUAUUUUUGAUAUUUUUUUUUCCAAAUGACAAUAACAAUAUAAUUUAUUCUACAAUUCCUUUUCUUGAGUUACCGUUUUCUGCCAUUUUGGAAAGUACCUUAAACGUAAUCAGUGAUUAAGAUGUAACAUGGACUGUUUUACUGAUGUCCUUGCUACAUUUCUGGACGGGGAACAUUGCAGUUGUGUUUCUGUCUAUGGGAGGGACAGAGAGCUGUCAGAUUUCAUCAAAAAUAUCUUAAUUUGUGUUCUGAAGAUGAAUGAAGGUCUUAUGGGUUUGGAACGAUGAGUAAUUAAUGACAGAAUAAAAAUUUUUUGGGUGAACUAUCCAUUUAAAUAUAAUGAUGUGCACAGGCUUCUGUGAGGGUUAGGGAUCAGGUUUACACGUAAAUAUCAUAAACGUGACACAAAACAGUGGACGCCUAUGAGUGAUCUCACUAAUAUAGUGAAACAAACCUGUGUAUGUGAACUGCCUGUAAUUUUACCUGCUUUGUGAGGACUAAAUGUCUGCAUAAUGUAUUUAUGUAUUCAUGUUUCUCUCCCCUUAAAUCAAAUGGAUAAAUAAACAUACAGUGAUUAAAAAUAUAAAUUGUAAAAAUGUAGAAGGUUAGGGGUGGGGUUAGGGUGUAGAAAAUACUGUAGCUCAGUAUAAAAAUCAUUGCACCUAUAGAAAGUCCUCAUAAUGAUAGAUCCACCAACAUUUGUAUAGGCUUCCCAACACUUGUAUCGAUUUGGCAAAGGAAGGUAAGGAAGCAAGUGCGAGUUAACAGUAUUUAAUGAUAUGCACAAACAAUAAAAAUGAAGACAGGGAAACUGGUGAUUCUUGGCGAGGGAUACACAGUCCGGGAAGAGGCAGGUGGUUUACCAACCGUGACAACACUGUAGACUAUUUUCAAUAACUAUUCUUGCUGUAACCUCUAACCCAUAAUGUCCCUCUCCUUCCUGAGAGUUGGUGGGUUGGUGUUUUCUCAGAAACUGGUCACCCUAUAGCCUUUGCUUAAGCUUUUGGGGGGGGGGGGUUAAUAAAUAAUAUUUAAUUUAAUAACUCAUUAUAUACACAUUUGAAAUUAGUCUGUAUGAUUAAAUUUUCAUUACUGAAAAAGAGUUUUCUCUACCGAAACUCGCCUUAAAUUGUUUGCGUUAAGUAAGAAUGGUGUUGUGGAGGAUGAGGUGUCUUAGCAUAUUUUGCUAACAACAGAGAAGCAUGACGAUUUAGCCGAUUUUUUUAACUCAAUGUAUACAAUCAGACAUUAAUGAGGUAUAUUUUCGUAGAAAAUUUGUAAUCUAAUAUUUUUCUAAAUGUGGAAAACUACCCGUUUCGGUAAUGAUAAUCAAUUUGUCAUGUACACAUUCUGACAAGAUAAUUUUUUACUUUUAAAUAGAAAGAUAUGAAGAGAUAAGCCUACAUUGUUGGUAUUUUGAAGGUUCUGCCACAUGUGUUGCUUCAUUUAAAAUCAAGAUUUAUAUAAAAAAAAAAAAGAAAAAUAGUGUGUGUUAAUGGCCCUCGAAAAAUGUUGCGGAGGAUCA
rnacentral:lncRNA from 1 species